rnacentral:rRNA from 1 species
UACGGGGGGGGCAAGCGUUGUUCGGAAUUACUGGGCGUAAAGCGCACGCAGGUGGCUGAGUCAGUCGAUUGUGAAAGCCCUGGGCUUAACCUGGGAAUUGCAGUCGAUACUACUCAGCUAGAGUAUGGGAGAGGGUAGUGGAAUUCCCGGUGUAGCGGUGAAAUGCGUAGAUAUCGGGAGGAACAUCAGUGGCGAAGGCGGCUACCUGGCCCAAUACUGACACUCAGGUGCGACAGCGUGGGGAGCAAACAGG